rnacentral:rRNA from 1 species
GAUGAACGCUGGCGGCGUGCCUAAUACAUGCAAGUCGAGCGAACGGGCGAGAAGCUUGCUUUUCUGAUGUUAGCGGCGGACGGGUGAGUAACACGUGGAUAACCUACCUAUAAGACUGGGAUAACUUCGGGAAACCGGAGCUAAUACCGGAUAAUAUUUUGAACCGCAUGGUUCAAAAGUGAAAGACGGUCUUGCUGUCACUUAUAGAUGGAUCCGCGCUGCAUUAGCUAGUUGGUAAGGUAACGGCUUACCAAGGCAACGAUGCAUAGCCGACCUGAGAGGGUGAUCGGCCGCACUGGAACGUAGACAGCGUUGAGAGUACGACGGGAGGAGACACGCGGGAAGAGUGCGCAAAGGGCGCAGAUCUGACGGUGCUAUGCCGCGUGAAUAACGAAGGUUUACGGAUCCUGGAACUCGUUUACGGGACAAAAAAAAAUGUGCAAGUAAAUCUGCCCGUCUGCACGGGACCUAAUCCGAAGACCACCGCUCGCUACGUG